rnacentral:rRNA from 1 species
GACGAACGCUGGCGGCGUGCUUAACACAUGCAAGUCGAACGGAAAGGCCCUGCUUUUGUGGGGUGCUCGCGUGGCGAACGGGUGAGUAACACGUGAGUAACCUGCCCUUGACUUUGGGAUAACUUCAGGAAACUGGGGCUAAUACAGGAUAGGAGCUCCUGCAGCAUGGUGGGGGUUGGAAAGUUUCGGCGGUUGGGGAUGGACUCGGGGAUUAUCAGUUUGUGGGGUGGGUAGUGGCUUACCAAGGCUUUGGGGGGUGGCCGGCCGGAGCGGGGGACCGGCCACGUUGGGACUGGGAGGCGGCCGAGACGCCUACGGGAGGCAGGAGGGGGGAAUAUUGCACAAUGGGCGGGAGCCUGAUGCAGCACCUCCGCGUGCGGGAUGACUGCCUUCGGGUUGUAAACCGCUUUCGCCUGUGACGAAGCGUGUGUGACGGUAAUGGGUAAAGACGCACCCGCUCUCUACG